CUCCUACGGGAGGCAGCAGUUAGGAAUCUUCGUCAAUGGGCGAAAGCCUGAACGAGCGACGCCGCUUGAGGGACGAAGCCCUUCGGGGUGUAAACCUCUGAACAGGGGACGAUGAGGUGACGGUACCCUGCUAA
rnacentral:rRNA from 1 species